rnacentral:rRNA from 1 species
CGCGUAGGCGGCCCUCUAAGUCAGACGUGAAAUCCCCCGGCUUAACCUGGGAACUGCGUCUGAUACUGGAGGGCUUGAGUAUGGGAGAGGGAUGUAGAAUUCCAGGUGUAGCGGUGAAAUGCGUAGAUAUCUGGAGGAAUACCGGUGGCGAAGGCGGCAUCCUGGACCAUUACUGACGCUGAGGCGCGAAAGCUAGGGGAGCAAACG